GGUUGACCCCGGAUCAGGCAAGGAAAAACCCGCUGAACUUAAGCAUACUAAAAGGGGGG
rnacentral:rRNA from 1 species